CCUUUAAUGACACUUAAUAAGUUUUUAUUUUACAACUACAGUACAACAACAGUAAUAUAUGAUCUAUUAGCAAUUCGACUUCAAUUCCCAGGGGCCUAAAAUCUUUUAUGCUUAGGAAUUGCAAAGUGGAUUUCUUGGGAAAUUCCGAGGGUGCGUUUUUUAUACACCCUGUAUAACUAUGCACUUAAUUUUAAAUGUGUGUAACUCUGAAGUACUUUCUGUUCUUUUUAGCCCCUUUUCUUUGAGCCAGUUCUCUGUUCUUGAAUUUGAUGCGGUAUGAAAUCCUCAUUCUGACAAAUAUUUUUACCAAGUUAUGACUAGGAAAAUUCAGCACAUUGUGGAACAAUAAAUUAGGCAGAGCAUUAACAGUGUGCCUACCAACACCACUCAUUGUCAUUGAAUCUGUGAAAUAUUUGACAAUUGUUUCUUUAAUGUUAGUAACACAUUGUACAAAUGAACCAUGAGUGAGCCAAAUGGACCUUUCGUUUCAUCGUGAGCAUUAAAAUGGCAAAAUAACUGAUCUGGAUUAUCAAGUUGAUUCUGCAGAAACAGUGCCUUAGCAAGCUCG